rnacentral:rRNA from 1 species
GUGCCAGCCGCCGCGGUAAUACGGAGGGUGCGAGCGUUGUUCGGAAUCACUGGGCGUAAAGGGCGUGUAGGCGGCCCGCUAAGUCUGAUGUGAAAGCCCGGGGCUCACCCCCGGAAGUGCAUUGGAAACUGGCGGACUCGAGUCCCGGAGAGGAGAGUGGAAUUCCUGGUGUAGCGGUGAAAUGCGUAGAUAUCAGGAGGAACACCGGUGGCGAAGGCGGCUCUCUGGACGGUGACUGACGCUGAGACGCGAAAGCGUGGGGAGCAAACAGGAUUAGAUACCCCCGUAGUCC